rnacentral:lncRNA from 10 species
CUGAGGCCUUCAUUAGAACUACAUCAUGGCUUCACUUCUCCCUCUGACUAAUCCUCUUUCUUUCACCUCCUUUCCACAAGUGUUGAUCUCAAGGGGCACUCCCUAAUAAACACCCUGCACACUGGUCUCCAUCUCAGGGUCUGUUUCUUGGGGAACCCAGACUCUGUGACAGUUGAUGACAAGAGUGGUCUGAGAAAGCAGGUACCUUGAUGGGAUUUUGGAUCUGGAUCAACCACUGCCUAGAUGACAUCGAGGACAUCAUUAAUGUUGUUGAAGCAGCUCUUUUCCCUUGCCAGAGAAGAAUAACUUCUCUUUUCAUGGAGACCAGGUAAUGAUUUCAUGUGAAGAAGGUUCCUUGUGAGAUGGUAUUUUUUUUCUCAAGAUCCACCCUACCAUCCUCAUUGCCUCCUGGUAAGUAACCAGAAUCAGAUUUCAUCACAGCUUGGAGAGAGAAGCAAUUAUUCUGUGCUUAUUAAUGAGGAGAGUCAAAAGCAGUUCAUAAUCUCAAAACAUCUGAAUUAUUUGCAUGAAAGAAGCCAGGCAUACACACAAAAUGCAUACGGAACGAUUCCAUUUAUAUGACUUUCAAGAACAGGCAAUACAAGUCUAUGGAGAAAGAAAUCAGAAAGUGGUUGCCUCUGGGUGGGCAUAAGGGG